rnacentral:rRNA from 1 species
UACGAGGGGGGCAAGCGUUGUUCGGAAUUAUUGGGCGUAAAGGGCGCGUAGGCGGUGCGGUAAGUCACCUGUGAAACCUCUAGGCUCAACCUAGAGCCUGCAGGCGAAACUGCCGUGCUUGAGGGUGGGAGAGGUGCGUGGAAUUCCCGGUGUAGCGGUGAAAUGCGUAGAUAUCAGGAGGAACACCUGUGGCGAAAGCGGCUCACUGGACCAUAACUGACGCUGAUGCACGAAAGCUAGGGGAGCAAACAGG